rnacentral:rRNA from 1 species
GUGGGGAAUAUUGGACAAUGGGGGGAACCCUGAUCCAGCCAUGCCGCGUGUGUGAAGAAGGCCUUUUGGUUGUAAAGCACUUUAAGCGAGGAGGAGGCUACCGAGAUUAAUACUCUUGGAUAGUGGACGUUACUCGCAGAAUAAGCACCGGCUAACUCUGUGCCAGCAGCCGCGGUAAUCCAGAGGGUGCAAGCGUUAAUCGGAUUUACUGGGCGUAAAGCGCGCGUAGGUGGCCAAUUAAGUCAAAUGUGAAAUCCCCGAGCUUAACUUGGGAAUUGCAUUCGAUACUGGUUGGCUAGAGUAUGGGAGAGGAUGGUAGAAUUCCAGGUGUAGCGGUGAAAUGCGUAGAGAUCUGGAGGAAUACCGAUGGCGAAGGCAGCCAUCUGGCCUAAUACUGACACUGAGGUGCGAAAGCAUGGGGAGCAAACAGGAUUAGAAACCCCUGUAGUCC